rnacentral:rRNA from 1 species
GGGGAAUCUUGCGCAAUGGACGAAAGUCUGACGCAGCAACGCCGCGUGAGUGAAGAAGGCCUUCGGGUUGUAAAGCUCUGUCGUGAGGGACGAAAAUGUUUGGGGCUCAUACCUCCAAGCACUGACGGUACCUUGAAAGGAAGCACCGGCUAACUCCGUGCCAGCAGCCGCGGUAAUACGGAGGGUGCAAGCGUUGCUCGGAAUUAUUGGGCGUAAAGGGUAGGUAGGUGGUCUGAUUUGUCAGGGGUGAAAACCUUGGGCUUAACCCAAGAAGGGCCUCUGAAACGGUCGGACUAGAGUCUCGGAGAGGGUCGUAGAAUUCCCGGUGUAGCGGUGAAAUGCGUAGAGAUCGGGAGGAAUACCAGAGGCGAAGGCGGCGGCCUGGACGAGUACUGACACUAAACUACGAAAGCGUGGGGAGCAAAC